rnacentral:rRNA from 1 species
GUUAAGUGAAUAAGCGUAUACGGUGGAUGCCUUGGCAAUUGGAGGCGAUGAAAGACGUGUUAAUCUGCGAUAAGUCUGGUUAAGGUGAUAAAAACCGUUAUAGACCAGAAUUUCUGAAUGGGGAAACCCACUGCAUUUUGUGCAGUAUCGCAUAGUGAAUACAUAGCUAUGCGAAGCAAACCCGGAGAACUGAAACAUCUAAGUACCCGGCGGAAAAGAAAUCAACCG